rnacentral:rRNA from 1 species
UACGUAGGCAGCGAGCGUUUGUUCGGAGUUACUGGGCGUAAAGGGUGUGUAGGCGGUUUUCUAAGUUUGGUGUGAAAUCUCCCGGCUUAACCGGGAGGGUGCGCCGAAAACUGGGAGACUAGAGUGCGGGAUGGGAGAGUAGAAUUCCUGGUGUAGCGGUGAAAUGCGUAGAUAUCAGGAGGAAUACCGGUGGUGUAGACGGCUCUCUGGACCGCAACUGACGCUGAGACACGAAAAGCGUGGGUAGCAAACAGG